rnacentral:misc_RNA from 1 species
AACGCAUCUUGCGCUCCUUGGUAUUCCGAGGAGCAUGCCUGUUUGAGUGUCAUUUUAAAUUCUCAAAACCAUGUUCAAUAUAUCAUGGCUUUGGAUGAAUGGGGGUUUGUUUGCAGGCUUUUUAAAAGUCAGCUCCCCUGAAAUGUAUAGAGAUGGUAUAUGAUUUACAAUGUGAAACAUGAUAAAAUCUAUCCAUGCUUUCCUUUGUAAUCUGCCACUUGUAAUGCACAUAUUUUGUGCAUCUGACAAAUUUGAUCUCAAAUCAGGUAGGACUACCCGCUGAACUUAA